rnacentral:rRNA from 1 species
AUUGAACGCUGGCGGCAGGCUUAACACAUGCAAGUCGAGCGGGGUGAUGGUGCUUGCACUAUCACUUAGCGGCGGACGGGUGAGUAAUGCUUAGGAAUCUGCCUAUCAGUGGGGGACAACAUCUCGAAAGGGAUGCUAAUACCGCAUACGUCCUACGGGAGAAAGCAGGGGAUCACUUGUGACCUUGCGCUAAUAGAUGAGCCUAAGUCGGAUUAGCUAGUUGGUGGGGUAAAGGCCUACCAAGGCGACGAUCUGUAGCGGGUCUGAGAGGAUGAUCCGCCACACUGGGACUGAGACACGGCCCAGACUCCUACGGGAGGCAGCAGUGGGGAAUAUUGGACAAUGGGGGGAACCCUGAUCCAGCCAUGCCGCGUGUGUGAAGAAGGCCUUAUGGUUGUAAAGCACUUUAAGCGAGGAGGAGGCUCCUUUGGUUAAUACCCAAGAUGAGUGGACGUUACUCGCAGAAUAAGCACCGGCUAACUCUGUGCCAGCCGCCGCCGCGG